ACCCACAAACAAUAUUCCCGACUGCUACGAAGCAGAAAUGGUUUGGUUAACAUUCACCUCUUCUCCUUCUCUCUUCUUGCCUUUUCUAUUCUUCUUCUUCCUAUACAUUUGCCAUCGCAACCGCAUGGCCAUGUCCCAAGAAGACCUCGGAUGGUUUUGCGAUAAUUCAGAAGGAAACUACACCACUAACAGUCCCUACAAACCCAAUCUAAACCACCUCCUUUCCACUUUCACCACCCAUCAAAUCGACUACGGCUUCUACAACCUCUCCUACGGCCAUGACCACAAAGCUUAUGCUAUUGGUCUAUGCAGAGGAGACGUUAUGCCUGACUCUUGCAGAAGUUGCCUCAACAACUCAAUAACACUUCUCACCAAUAACUGUCCCACCCAAACUAAUGCCAUUGUUUGGUACGAAGACUGUACGUUUCGUUACUCCGACCGCUCUCUGUUCGGCACACUGGACGUUUCCCCCACUCGCUUUGUGGUGCUGCCCGUUAUCAGUAAUGUUUCGGACUUUAGGUACACUCAGUUAGCCACUGAUAUGCUUCAACAACUCACUCCUAAAGCUGCAUCCGGUGAUUCCCGUUUGAAGUAUGCCACUAGAAGAGUUGCUGUCCCGAAUUUUCCUGUCCUUUCUGGGGCUGUGCAGUGUACUCCUGAUUUAACUUCCGAUGCUUGCUCCAACUGCCUGCUUGCUUCAAUUGCACAAGUUCGAGAUGCUUAUGAUACGGUCCCAAGAGUUAGGAUUAUGAAACCCAGUUGCAAUAUUCGAUUUGACAUCAACCGCCUCUUUCUGGAUCCACGGGCUUCAUCCCCACCCCCCAGUUUCUCAAACACAACUACUACUACUAAUAAUUCUCCACGAGGCAAUUUUCUUUCCUUUGUUUUCCUUUUCUUUCUGUCUCUGUCUCGUAACGUAUUGGAAAUUACUCUGUAUUUUUUCCAGGAAACAAAGCUCGAAAACUCGUCUUGGUUUUGGUGCCUAUUGUCGUCGUUGUUCUGGCUGCUCUACUACUAAUUAUCACCAUCACCUUAAGGGCAAGGAAUUCAAAUAAAAAAAGUAAAGCUGAAAGUCCAUUUCAUACCCAAUUUUACUUCACUCCAAGCUUCAUUUGUGUGUGUGUUUUAACUUUUUACUUUUGACUCAUUGAUCUGCGUGAAGAUCAUAUUGCAAAUGAAGAAUCUUUGCAGUUCGAUUUUGAUACAAUUAGAACGGCUACAGAUGGAUUCUCUGAGGCAAAUCAACUCGGGCGAGGGGGGUUUGGAGCUGUUUAUAAGGUAAUCUGAGGUUCUAAUGACAAUUUUCAAUACAAUUUGAAGAACCAAUUUAAUUGAUGAAAUUAAUUGACAGGGUCGGCUUCCGGAUGGACAAUAUGUAGCUGUGAAACGACUAUUUCAAAGCUCAAAACAAGGAGAUGAUGAAUUUAAGAACGAAAUCGUGUUGGUGGCUAAGCUUCAGCAUCGGAAUUUAGUUCAACUUUUGGGUUUCUGUAUCAAACAAAAUGAAAAGCUCCUCAUUUACGAGUUUGUGGAGAACUCCAGUCUUGAGAAAUUCCUCUUUGGUAACCCCUUUCUCUCUUUCUCCCACUUCAUUUAUUUACCUAAAUAGUUUUUUUCCCUUAUGAUUCUUUUUGGAAAUUAAAAUUUGUAUAUCUUUCCUAAUUUUGAAUAUAAAAAAAAAAAAAAAAACUAUGGAUGCAGAUUCUAUUAAGCGCGAGAGUUUAGAUUGGAAAACUCGAUACAAUAUCAUACAAGACAUUGUUCGAGGACUUAUAUACCUUCAUGAAGACUCUCAACUUCGAAUCAUUCAUCGAGAUCUUAAAGCCUGUAACAUUUUAUUAGAUGCAGAGAUGAAUGCUAAAAUUUCUGAUUUUGGAACUGCAAAACUAUUUGAACAUGAUCAAACACGAGGAGAUACGAGAAAAAUCAUGGGUACCUAGUAAGUAUUAUGGUAGCAACUAUACCAUGCUCCAUUUUAUGUGGUGAAAGAUCUACUAACUAAACUUUAUUUAAUGCAGUGGAUAUAUGGCUCCUGAGUAUGCGCGGCAUGGUCAAUUUUCAGUCAAAUUAGAUGUAUUUAGCUUUGGUGUUUUAAUUUUGGAGAUUGUGACUGGACAAAAGAAUAACCGAGCUCAAACCAACAAAGAGAUUUCUGAGUCUCUUAUUAGCCAUGUAAGUACAAAAUUCUGCCUUUGUGUUUCCUAUAUUUGGAUAAAUUUUUGUGUCAUAAGAGUAGAUGGAAGUGAAUCCUCAUUCUAAUCGUUGUUCUCGUAGGCAUGGAAAAGUUGGCAAUCAGGAAAUGCACUUGAUAUUGUUGAUCCAUGUUUGAAAAGUGGUUCAAAAGUUGAAAUGGCUAGAUGCAUUCAUGUUGGAUUGUUAUGUGUUCAAGAAAAUCCACUUGAGAGGCCAACAAUGACUACCGUACUUCUCAUGCUUAGCAGUGGUUCUACUACUCUUCCAAAACCCUCUGAACCAGCAUUUUUUAUCAAUAGUAAAUGCUCGCAAAUGCCGGGACAGUUUACAGAUCAUAGUUUAACUCAAGAUGUGAAUGAAUUGUCAAUUACUGAGUUAUAUCCUCGUUAGUGUGAUCUUAAAUUAUGUCGUUUUGUUGUUAUGAAAUAAUAAUACCUUGGACAAGUAAAAGAUGUAAUAGGAUGUUGUAUGAUGAGUGAACCUACAUGUUAUGUUAGUAAAAUGUAAUUAGUAAAUAUGCGAUCUCUUUGUCCAUUGUAAAAGAUUUGAAAUAACAACUUCCUUCCUAAAUUUGGUCUUUGGUGAGAAAGUAAAAGUUUAUUCUUAUCAUUUUAGAACUUGGAAUUGAAUUUGUAUGAUUUUGAUAAAAUUUUCACAAUAGUCCCUACAUUUUGAACUAAUUUAUAAAUAAGUAUUUAUGUUAUAACUUUAAUACUAUUAAUUUAUUAGGAUCAUGAUCAAUUCCCCUCAUUUUUUUGGAGGUAUAUAUUAAGAUCAAAGUAGUAAUAAUGAGUCUAGUUUUGGAUUGUAUGUAAAAUAAUAAGUUGGUGAUAGAAAACAAUGAAAAAGAAAAAGAAAAUCAAAAUAGCUCCCGGAAAAUUAUAAGUUGUUAAUUAAGAAUGAGAUAGGAAAAAUAAUGGCCUAAAUUAAACAAUAAUAUAAACAAAUACUACUUCUCUUUUAGUUAUAUGGAUGAGUAGAAUGAGAAAGUAAAAUGGACAGGUCUUUUAUUUUAAAUUAGUAUAUAUCUUUUUUAUGCCUUUUCAGAUCAAUACUCUAAAAUUUAUAGCAUCUUUUUUGAGAGAGUGUUUUUUUAAUUUAAAAAUUAGUAUUAUUUUAGAUGUUAAAAAUUUAAUAUUUAGACAUAACCACACAACCAAAGGAGUUGAAAAAUAAAAUAUGGUGAAACUAAAUUUAAAUCAAUUAUUUUAGUUACACAUUUUCAAAUUCUUUAACUUAAAAGUGUGAUUUUAGUUAAGUCUCUUUACUUUAAGUUUAGUUAGGAAUCAAAUUGUGAUAAUAUUUAAUUUCCUUUUUAAAAAUUAAUAUUAUAUAUCUAAAUUAUAGAAUAUUUUUAAAUUAUAUUAUUGAAGAUUAUUGAAAGAAGUAGAAGUAAUAAAGAAAAAGAAGAAAAAAGAGAGUUAAGUAAUAUAUAAAAACAUGAUAGCAAUGACUUUAGAGAAUUGAUGUAGAAAAUAUUCAUAUAUAUAUAUAUAUAUAUAUAAUGUUAGGUUUUUAUGAGAUUAAAUAGUUAAUAUAUUGUCUUUUAUUAUUUUAGAAUUUGAAUGUUUGUAACAAAUAUUCAUAAGUCGUCCAUAGUAGAUACGAAAUAUAAAGGUUAUAUAAUAAUAUUUUAAACUAGAAAUUAAAAAAUGUGUAUCUAAAAUCAUUGAUUUGAAUUUAGUUUCACCAUAUUUUAGUUUCAACUCUUUUGGUUUGGAAAUUUUUUAAAAAUAAUAGAUUUUACAAAAUAUUUCCAACCUAUAACAAAUUCUAUUACUGAUAGUCAUUGAUAUGUCAUAGUGAUAGAAGACUAUCAGUAAUGAAUCCAAAAUUUUGCUAUAGCUUGUAAAUAUUUUAGUUUAUUUUGCUAUUUUUAAAAAGGUCCCUUUUACUUUCUCAUUUUAACUAGAAAAAUAAAAGAAAAUAAUAUGGAAGAAAAAUUUACAUUCUACUCAUUUAUAUAACUAAAAAAAAUAACAAAAAGAGAAAUAGUUUCAAAAGAAAUAGAAAAUAAGAGAAAAUAAUUUAAAAAGAUGCAUAUCAAAGAAGAUAUUUGUAUAUAGAUCUCCAAUACCGAAGAAAUAAAUCUUAUCGAUCUUCUUGUAUUUUUCUCUUCUCCUAAUCGAUGAUGUGAUUUUUAUAGAUUCACUAUUUAUCUUUAUCGUCUCGUUUUUCUUGUCUCCUUGCACUUCUCUCUCCACUUCCAAUCAUUUGUUGCUUCGAGGAAGCAAGGGGAUACCAUAUACUUUUAUAUUGAAUAAAUUGGUAGAAAGUGUGAGUUAGAGAAUUUUAAAAGACUUCCUUUAAUUGAUUGGAUACAAAAUUUUCUACUACCCAUAAACUUAAUUAAGGUAAUAAAUAGUAUUCAAUCAAAUAUUAAAGCGGUAGAGAAAUACAGAGGAAGAGUUACCACUAUUCAUGCAUUGAAAUUGAAUGACAAAAUUGUCAUCAAAUAAAUAGUAAGAAUACUUAUAAUCAAAAGGGUAAAAUGGACUAAAAGAAUUUAUCCAUAUAAGAGCUUUUAUAUAUACUAUAGUUUAAUUUUGAAACAUCUUUAUCAUUAAUUAUAAUUAACAAUGAAAUAUUAAUUCUAAAAAAACUAGCAUUACAAAAAACAUAAACUUGUACUCCCAUAGCUUAUGAGAGUUUUUGUAAUCUCCUCCUUGGUUUGAGCUCGUUUAUUCUUUUGUUUCAGUCACAAUUUCAACUAAAACACCAAAACUAAAUACAUCUUAUUUGACUGAAAAAUGACCGUUUUAUACAUGCUCUGGAGCCAUAUAUCCUCUGCAUUCAAUAGUGGUAUUAAACAAAUGGUUGAAUUAUAACUAAUCAAUGAUACUCAAAUUAUAAAUUAUUACAAGUUAAUUAAUUUAUGAAACUAGGGUAGUUAGAUUCAAAUAUUAUAAUUUAGAUUUUAUAUAAUUUUUUUAAAUUAUAAAUUUGGUUUUGAAUCUAAAUUAAUUAAUUUUUUAGAAAAGAAGAUUAAAUCAAUUAAUUUUAGUAAUAUAUAAAAAAAAUGAAUAAAUACAUAAAUUAAAAGCAUAAUUAAAGAAAACCCACACUUAAAUGAUAGAUGAGAAUAACAUAUUCUCACGUUUGAAGCUUCAAAACUUGAAUCAAACAAGGGGAUAUGAUCACAUUUUCGUUUCCAUCUUUAUUUCCAUGCCAUUUUCCUCAAUCCAAACACCUUUUUGAAGGCCAUUUCCUAUCUUAUUGUUUCAUUGAUUGAUGUAAAUAUUAAAUAUCUGGAAUUUUAAAAUGUUGUUGUUAGAUAAUCAAUAGCUAGAACUUAAAAAUUUGUGUAUAAAUAUUCAACAUAAUUUGUAAAAAGUAAAAUAAAAUAAUUACUUAACUUAAUGAUACAAAUCAAUUAAAAAUUUAACCAAAAUUAAUUCAUUGUUAUGUUAAUGAGUUAUUUAGUUGAUAAAGUAAAAGAUAAAAUAUAUAAUACUUUUUAACUGAACAUAAUAACUGUUAAAUUAGUUAAAAUAUUGAUAAUUAACAAUAAUAACACAUAGACAUCGUAUGGUUAAAAGUAUUGAUUGAAAUUUAUUAAUCUAAAUAAUGUAUUUAUAUCUAAUAAUAAAUUAAAAUUAAUAUAUAGUACUAAAUAAUUGAUAUUAAUUUAUAAACAUGGACACGAAUGUUUGUGAGUGAAUAAAUAAUGAAAAUUAAGGUUAAAGAUAUAAAAUAUUGAAUUAUAGAGAGCAAAACUCAAAAUUUAAAGUAAAAUUGAAAGAUUAAAUUAAAACAAAAAUAAAACCAUGAGCGCUAAAUAUAUAUAUCAUUUUAAAAUAUAAGAACUAAAUAGAAAAGGCAAUGACCGAAACUUAUUUUUCUCAAUGUUUAAAACUGGUUGACGAUUGGGUUAAAGGUUGAGGAUAGCUUAUUUUUUCUCUUAUUUAUGAGGGUUUUUCUGAAACAAAUAGAAAUCACAUCAACCAACAAAAAUGAAAGACGGAGAUAUUGACCAUCACUUAUGCAUUCCAAAUUAACUUUGACUUCAACUUCUUUUAUUUUCAUUUUCAUGCUUUUCUUUUCAAACAAAUUAGUAGCUUAGUUAUGGAAAAUAGUAUUCGUUUUAAGUUCAUAUCAUUCCGCCUUUUUCUUUUUCUUUUUCUGCUUGUCAACUAGUGUUGGCCGAAUGCGUGUUUGGAUUUGGAUUUCCAUUUCUAAAAUAAGCACCGCACCCAUCUCACAUACCCACAAACAAUAUUCCGGAGUGCUACCAAGCAGAAAUGGUUUGGUUAACAUUCAACUCUUCCCCUUCCCCUUCCCUCUUCUUGCCUUUUCUAUUCUUCUUCUUCCUAUACAUUUGCCAUCGCAACCGCAUGGCCAUGUCCCAAGAAGACCUCGGAUGGUUUUGCGAUAAUUCAGAAGGAAACUACACCACUAACAGUCCCUACAAACCCAAUCUAAACCACCUCCUUUCCACUUUCACCACCCAUCAAAUCGACUACGGCUUCUACAACCUCUCCUACGGCCAUGACCACAAAGCUUAUGCUAUCGGUCUAUGCAGAGGAGACGUUUCGCCUCAAUCUUGCAAAAGCUGCCUCAACAACUCAAUAACCCUUCUCACCGGUAACUGUCCCACCCAAACUAAUGCCAUUGUUUGGUACGAAGACUGUAUCUUUCGUUAUUCCGACCGCUCUCUGUUCGGCACACUGGACCUUUCCCCCACUCGCUUUGUGGUGCUGCCCGUGACCAGUAAUGUUUCGGACAUUAGGUACACUCAGUUAGCCACUGAUAUGCUUCAACAACUCACUCCUAAAGCUGCAUCCGGUGAUUCCCGUUUGAAGUAUGCCACUGGAAGAGUUGCUGUCCCGAAUUUCCCUGUUCUUUCUGGGGCUGUGCAGUGUACUCCUGAUUUGACUUCCGAUGAUUGCUCCACCUGCCUGCUUGCUUCAAUUGCACAAGUUCGAGAUGCUUAUGAUACGGUCCCAAGAGUUAGGAUUAUGAAACCCAGUUGUAAUAUUCGAUUUGACAUCAACCGCCUCUUUCAGGAUCCGCCGGCUUCAUCCCCACCCCCCAGUUUCUCAAAUACAACAACUACUAAUAAUACUUCUCCACGAGGCAAUUUUCUUUCCCUUCUUUUCCUUUCCUUUCUGUCUCUGUCUCUGUCUCUGUCUCAUAACGUAUUGGAAAUUACUCUGUAUUUUUUCCAGGAAACAAAGCUCGGAAACUCGUCUUAAUUUUGGUACCUAUUAUCGUGGUUGUUCUAGCAGCCCUGCUACUAAUUAUCAUCAUCAUCUUAAGGGCAAGAAAUUCAAAUAAAAAAAGUAAAGCUCAAAGUCCAAUUCAUACCCAAUUUUACUUCUCUACAAGCUUCAUUUGUGUGUGUGUUUUAACUUUUUACUUUUGACUCGUUGAUCUGCGUGAAGAUGAAAUUGCAAAUGUAGCAUCUUUGCAGUUCGAUUUUGAUACCAUUAGAAUCGCUACCAAUGGAUUCUCUGAUGCAAAUCAACUUGGGCUCGGUGGUUUUGGAGCUGUUUAUAAGGUAAUCUCAAGUUCUAACGACAAUUUGAAGACCCAAUUUAAUUGAUGAAAUUAAUUGGCAGGGUCGACUUCCGGAUGGACAAAACAUAGCUGUGAAACGACUAUUUCAAGGCUCAAACCAAGGAGAUGAUGAAUUUAAGAAUGAAAUCGUGUUGGUGGCUAAGCUUCAACAUCGGAAUUUAGUUCAACUUUUGGGUUUCUGUUUCAAACAAAAUGAAAAGCUUCUCAUCUAUGAGUUCGUGGAGCACUCCAGUCUUGAGAAAUUUCUCUUUGGUAACCCCUUCCUCUGUUUCUCCCACUUCAUUUAAUUACCUAAAUAGAUUUUUUUUCCCCUUAUGAUUCUUUUUGCAAAAUUUGUAUAUCUUUCCUAAUUUUGAAUAUAAAAAAAUGUGGAUGCAGAUCCUAUCAAGCGUGAGAGUUUAGAUUGGAAAACUCGAUACAAUAUUAUAGAAGAUAUUGUUAGAGGACUUGUAUAUCUUCACGAAGAUUCUCAACUUCGAAUCAUUCAUCGAGACCUUAAAGCUUGUAACAUUUUAUUAGAUGUAGAGAUGAAUGCCAAAAUUUCUGAUUUUGGAACGGCAAAACUAUUUGAACAUGAUCAAACACGAGGAGCUACGAGAAAAAUUGUCGGUACUUAGUAAGUAUUGGUAGCAACUAUCUCAUGCUGCAUUUUAUGUGGUGAAAGAGCCACUAACUAAAUUUGUGUAUGACACUCUUUAAUGUAGUGGGUAUAUGGCUCCAGAAUAUGCGUGGCAUGGUCAAUUUUCAGUCAAAUCAGAUGUAUUUAGCUUUGGUGUUUUAGUUUUGGAGAUUGUGACUGGACAAAAGAAUAACCGAGCUCAAACUAAUGAGGAUAUUUCUGAGUCUCUUAUUAGCUAUGUAAGUACAAAUUUUAUGCCUUUUCUUUUCCUAUUUGGUGAAAUUUUAGCCUAUAAGAGUAGAUGGAAGUGAAUUCUCAUUGUAAGUGUUGUUCUUGUAGGCAUGGAGAAGUUGGCAAUCAGGAAACGCACUUGAUAUUGUUGAUCCAUGUUUGAAAAGUGGUUCAAAAGUUGAAAUGGCUAGAUGCAUUCAUGUUGGGUUGUUAUGCGUUCAAGAAAAUCCACUUGAGAGGCCAACAAUGCCUUCCGUACAUCUCAUGCUUAACAGUGGUUCUACUACUAUUCCAAAACCCUCUGAACCAGCAUUUUUUAUCAAUAGUAAUUACUCUCAAAUGUCUGGACAAUCUGUAGAUCAUAGUUCAACUCAGGAUGUGAACGAAUUGUCAAUUACUGAGUUAUAUCCUCGAUAGUUUUACCUUAAAUUAGGUCGUGGUGUUGUUAUGAGAUAAUAAUAGUAGGGCAAGAAAGAGAUGUAAUAGCAAGUUGUAUGAUGAGUGGAGCUACAUGUCAGUAAAAUGUAAUUGGUAAAUAUAUGAUCUCUUUGUCCAAUUGUAAAAGGUUUGAAAUAACUUGUAUUACAACUUCCUUCCUAAUUUUGGUUUUUGAAGAAAGUAAAAGUAUAUUGUUAUCAUUUUAGAACUUUGAUUAAACCGAAGACCCUAUGAUUUUGAUAAUUUUUUUACAAUAGUCCCUACCUUUUUGACUAAGUUAUGAAUAAAUAUUUAUGUUAUAACUUUAAUACUAUUAAUUUAUUAGGAUCAUGAGCAAUUCCCCUCGUUAUUGGAGGUAUAUAUUAAGAUCAAAGUAGUAAUUAUGAGUCUAAUUUUGGAUUCUUUGUAAAACUUAUCUUGCAAAAGUUUUUAGAAAAAUAAAGUAUAAACAAUAAUUAGUGUCCAUGUAAUGACACCUCCCUACUUGUGAUAUAAAGAGUGACAUGUUUUGUGGAUAUACUGAAUUAGUGCACAAUGGUGAGAAAACUAAAACAAAGGAUUGAGAAUUUUCAUAUGUAUUUUUUUUAUUAUUUUAUUACAAUUUCUUGAUUUUUUUUGUGAAGUCGUGGUAAGUUGUCAACUUUAAUAAGUUGGCGUUAAAGCACUCAUCUAAACAUUGCUGAAGUUUCAACAUUAUCAAGUUGCUUUAUUCAUUUUUCUUCUUUUAUCUAGCUUUCACAUUUGAUUUGAUACUUUAUAUUUUCUAUUCUUUUCUCUACUUUUCACAUCUAUCCAAGGACUUUAUUUUCACACUUUUCUUGAUUUAUAUAUAUAUAUAUAUAUAUAUAUGUGUGUAUAUUGAAUAACUAAUUUCAUCUUCUUCUUCUUUUUCUCCUUUUUCACAUUUAUCAAACAUACCUCUAUUUUAUAAUUCUACAUCUCAAAAGCCUAAACAACAUUAAAUGGCUUUCAAAUAUGUCUUUUUGAGCAUUCUAACACGUAAGUUUGGUAAGAAGAAUUGGCGUAAGGAAACUGCAAAUUAAUGUUUGUUUUGAACUUCCAACUGGUUCUUGUCUUCAAAGGGUCCAUACAUAUCCAAAAUUAAUAUAAUACUCUCUUUUCAAAGUCUCCGACGACUUAGAAAAAGAAACCCACUGUUGUCUAAGCAGCGUUUUCCACGGGGCACACGAAGACCAAUUGCAAAAUGGAAAACAUCAAAGUCUCUUUUAAUUUCAAGCCUCCAACGACUAAUUCAACCAAAGGUUUCUUUUCAUUUCUUUGUUUUUUUGUUGAUCAAAUUUUCCAUAUCUUCAUGAAUUCACAUGAAGAUAGUUGGUUGCUGUAUACCUAAUUUCAUAUUUAUGAAUUUCUAGUUUUCUUUUUUAAGAAAACUUUUGUAGUGUAGUAAGAAACUAAGUUCUUUCAUAUAAUAAUAUUUUGAAUAAAAAAAAGUGAAAGGAGGUAAAACAAAUAUAAAUAUUAAAAUGUCCGUCUAAAAGUUCUCUCAUAUACGUGUUUAAUAAUUUUAAAAUUUUUAAUUUUAUGUCUAAUAAAUUUGAUAUUUUAAAAUUUUAUGUCACGAAUCUCAAACUAUUAAUUUUUAGUCUAUUAAGUUCAUCCUAUGAUAUGAUAUAAUAUAAUAUUAAAUUUUUUUACUCAUGGAUUUAAUUUAGUUGGUAAUUAGUAAUUUAAGAUCAUAUUUCAAAAAAAUUUAAAGAAAAAUUGUCAAAAAUAGCAAACUUGACGAAAUUGUUACAAUGAGUAAAAUUUCAGAUUUUAUCAAUAACAAAUACUUGAUAGACACUGAUAUCCUUCUAUCAAUAACAUUGAUAGAAGCCUAUGGAUAAAAGUCUAUCAUUUUUUAUUAGAUCCAAAAAAAAAUUGUUAUAUCUUGUAAAUAUUUUAAUUUGUUUUUAUAUCUUAAAAAAUACACCAUAUAUAAAUUUGAAUUGGACAAUUUAAAAAAUAACAAAAUAUUAAAACUGUUGACAAAACUUAUCGAAAUCCAUCAAAUUCUCUGUAACUCAUUUAAUUUUUUUUAACUAUAUUUUGUAAGUAGUUUUUUUAAGGGUAUUUUUAAAAAUAGUAAAAUAAAUUAAAAUAUUUACGAGCUAUAACAAAAUUUUGGAUUUAUCAUUAAUAAUCUUCUAUCAUCAUAACAUAUCAAUGACUAUGAGUGAUAGAAUUUGGUAUAAGUUGUAAAUAUUUUGUAAAAUUUGUUAUUUUUUAAAAAAAAUCUAGAUCUUUUUAUGAAUGACGGAAGUUAAAAUCACUUUUAUCUAUUUAAAAUAAAUUCACCACAUACUUUUUAUUCUUUCGAAUCAAAUAUGAGAAAAAUUGCUGUGAAUAGAAAAAAAAAUGGAACGAUUAAUAAGAUAAUCAAAAUUUUAUAUUCUAUCAAUUUUUAUCAUUGUCAUCAAUGAAAGUCUAUCAAUAUCUAUGGACAAAAUUUAAAAUUAUACUUUAUUUUUUAAGACGUAAAAUAGAAGACUAUACUAACUUUCAAUUGUUUGUGAUUAUUCUCCAAGGGUAAAAUCAGUCAAUCAAUAAUAAUAACUAGUGUAAGAAUUGGUCUUCAAAGGGAUCUUAUCUUUAUCAAUUAAAAUUAAAAAAAAAAAAAAGGAAUUUUAAGAAAAUGAAAUGUAAAUUUUUUUUAAGUCAACAAUGACUAAGAAAAUCAAAGCAAUAAUAUAGAGUAACGUUUUGUAGGGAACACACACUUGUUGAAAAGACUUCUUUUUCCUCUCUCUUAAUUUCCUUGGAAAAGCUAUCUUUCCAUUCUAUCGAAGAUGGUAUAUCUUAUGUGGGGUUAUUCUUCUUCUUCUUCUUCUUUUUAAUUCAAUUUCUUUUGGGAAUGAAAGUUUUGAUUGAAAAUUUAAAAAUGUAGCAAAGAAAGAGCUCCAUCUUUCAUAAAAAUGAGAUUGAUGAUCACAAUGCAUUAGUUUGGUGAAACCAUACAAUCUUAUGUAAUAAACUUUAAUUAAGCUAACAUAACUAAUUCUUUUUAAAAAAUAUAUCUCAAAAUUUCAACCGAAAAUCUAUCUUUCCCCGAGUAGUAUUCAAUGAAAUGAAAGGUAGUUUAGUUUCUUAAUUUUGUGAGUUCUCACACCAGCUUUUUAACUUAUUUAAAAAUUAUUUUUAAAUAUAAGAAUAUGAAUCAAAAUGUUUACAAAAUAUAACAUAAUUUCAUAUUCAAUAAAUGAUUCACAUACAAAUCUUUCUAUAGAUUCCUAUCUUUCAUAGAAGUUUAUCGUAAAUAAUUUUAGCAAUUUUGUUAUUUACACUCAUUUCUUUGUAAUAGAUUUUUUAACUUUUAAUUUUGGUUAAUAGAACUUAUCACUUUCAAUUUUAACUAAACUAUAAAACAAGUCUAUAAAGGUAUGAUAAUAGAAAUAAGAAGGAGAGUACUAAUUACGCUAAAUUGAUUUUGAAAGUAUUUAAUGGAAUUUCUUCCAUUUAAAUUUUCCACAUGUUUUGAUACAAAUGGCGUAGCCUCACAAUUUGAAGGUUUUGAGGAGCAACAGAACAAUGGCUGCUACAACAUUUGUUUGUUCCAUUACUCUGAGUUUGUUGGCGUUGGCACUAAUUAACCAUCCUCCUCUCGCAUUUGCUCAGCCCAGAUUCUCCAACUAUAUUUGCGUCGACGAUACCAAAAACAACCACACAACCGACGCCGCUGCCUACAAAGCCAAUCUGAACCACCUCCUCACCACCUUCACCACCGACCAUCGUAUCGACUAUGGCUUCUACAACUUCUCUUACGGCGCCGCUGAAAACAAAGCAAACGUCAUCGGGCUCUGCAGAGGGGACGUUUCGCCUGAGACUUGCCGGAAAUGCCUCAACGACUCCAGAGAUCUUCUCCCUGUGCGAUGUCCGACCCAAAAGGAAGCCAUUGGAUGGUACCAAAAUUGCAUGCUCCGUUACUCCGACCGCCCCAUCCUCGGCUCCAUGGAACUUUCACCCUCUAUUCCUGUGGGGUAUCCGUUCAAUGCGUCGUAUCCAGAACGUUUCACCCAGGUCGCUAGUAGUCUGAUUGCAAGUCUCAUACCCAAGGCCUCCACCGGCAAUUCCCGUGUGAAAUUUUCUACAGGGAACACAUCUCUUCCAGAUUUGCCCACAAUUUAUGGUUUUGCCCAGUGCACCCCGGAUUUGUCCCAAAGGCAGUGCAACGAGUGCUUGACUGAGGCUCUGCCAAUGAUCCAAGACUGCUGUGUCGGAAACCUUUGGGGCAGAGUUGUUACACCCAGUUGUCUUUUUCGAUAUUCAAAUUUCCCUAUCAUUCAAUCGCAGCCGUUGCAACCGCCGUCACCUUCCCCUGUUCCUCCUCUGCUUAACGGAACUACCCACCACGGUAAUUCUAGUACUUCAACCAGGGGCGAAUUCAAAUAAUAAUUUUCUUUCCCAAAUACCAAAUUUAGUGCCCCUAUAUAAAAUUUCUGGAUCUAGUUCAAGCUCCCAUUAAUUUGAAUUCCUCCCUUCUUCCUUGUUUGCCUUGUAACUGCUAUACUCUGUUUUUCAGGAAAUAAAAGAGAACUCUCUGGAACUUUCAUAGCUGUGAUUGUGCCAGUGGUUGUUGUUGUAGUUUUACUACUGACGAUCGCCGUGUACUUAGGUGUGAGAAAAAGUAGCUCAAAGAUCGAUGAAGAAGAAUGUAAGCUGAUUAAAUUAGAUUUCCUUUUUAAUUAAACCAAUCAAAACAGUGUGUUUAAAAACUCAUUCCUAAUGGGUCUCCAGUUCCCUUCCAUUUAUCUUAUGUUUUGAAAUGAUAGAUCGAACCGAGGAAGAUAUGACGACCAUGGGGUUCGUACAGUUCAAUUUCGACAUCAUUCGAAAGCUAACAGAUGAAUUUUCAGAUGAAAAUAAAGUUGGGGAAGGUAGAUUUGGAGCAGUUUACAAGGUAAUUAAUCAUAAGGGUUGUAGUUUUGUAAAUUAGCAGAUGAUGAGUUCUUUUCUUUCCUUCUUUUCUCCUCAAUUUUUGUGUAUGAUUCUAUUAACAGGGGAAGCUUCCAAACGGACGAAUCGUAGCGGUGAAAAGGCUUUCUCAAGCUUCAGGACAGGGAGAUGUUGAGUUUAAGAACGAACUGGUUUUGGUUUCUAAGCUUCACCAUCGGAAUUUAGUUAAGCUUUUGGGCUUCUGCUUCAAAGAAAAUGAAAAGCUUCUCGUUUAUGAGUUUUUGCACAAUGGAAGCCUUCAUAAUUUCAUUUUCGGUAAUACCAUCCUUCCUUCUUUGUAUUUGUUUGCGUUGGUUUCUUCUUUUCAAGUUGGACCUUUUUUUUAAUCUCCAACAACUCAUUUUUAACACGUAGAUCCACUCAAGCGUCAAAGUUUAGAUUGGACAACACGCUACAAAAUCAUAAGAGGCAUUACUCGAGGACUUACUUAUCUUCAUGAAGAUUCUCGAAUCAAAAUUAUUCAUCGAAACUUAAAAGCCAGUAACAUUUUAUUAGAUAUAGAAAUGAAUGCUAAAAUUACAGAUUUUGGUGUUGCAAAGCUAUUCGCAUCCGAACAAACACAUGGUGAUACAAAUACAAUAAUAGGCACAUCGUAAGUACAUUACCUAAUAUAUAAAUAAAAGUUGUUUGUUAAUUUCAAUAUAUAUAUACUAACUCUUUACAUUAUUUACUAAAUUAAGUGGGUAUAUGGCUCCCGAAUACGUAAGGCAUGGACAUCUUUCAUCGAAGUCGGACGUCUUUAGUUUUGGUGUUUUAGUUUUAGAGAUUGUGACUGGACAAAGAAAUAAUCGAACUUACAACAACGUUGAAAACAUAGAAGACCCUCUUAUAAGCUAUGUAAGUAUAAUGUUUUUUCCUUGGAUGAAAGAUGACACGACCUCUAGAAGUUGUAUUAAUAUGAAUUGAAUUGUUAUAUGUAGGCAUGGAGAAAUUGGAGGGAGGGAACUCCGUUGAAUAUUGUAGAUCCUUCUAUUGAGAUACAAAAGGAAGAAGAAAGUGAAGUGACAAGAUGCAUUCAUAUCGGGUUACUAUGCAUUCAAGAAAAGGUUGAUGAAAGGCCAAAAAUGGCAACUGCACUUCUCAUGAUCAACGGUGAUUUAACUGAUUUUCCUAAACCUUCCCAGCCAUCUUUCUUUAUGAAUGCAAGUACCAAACAAAAUAGCUCUUAGCCAAAGAUUAUCCACAUAUCAGUGGUAGAAAUUGAAUAAGCUUGAAGGUUAAAUUUUUUGUUUAGAAACUUUUAUUUUCAUUAAUGCAUGUUGAAAGGUGAUCUCUGUAUAUAUAAUACCAUCAUACUAUGGUCUGCAAGAUAUAUGUAGAGCAAAUAGUUGGUGAGUGAUGUUGUACUAAAGUGAAAAAAAGAGUGGUGGCAUCCCAAAUUUUUCAAUGUGAUUUAUUUUCUUUUAGGUUUUCAAUGCCUCAUGAGAUGAGCACCUCACCACUUUCAAAUCACUCUUUUUCUUUUCCAUUCAUUACUGAAAUUUCAGCGUGGGAUUUUGGUGAAUUUUUUUUUUAUAAUAAAGGGGAAUAUUUAGUUUUAAACCUAUUCUUUAAUACUUAAUUAGUUACCGAAUUGGGUGUUUGAAAGCACAAGUGAUUGAACACACCUAUUCCUCAAAGUCAAAAGUAAGGGAUGCCAACCAAAAUGGUGUUGUUUUAAAAAAAGUUAAUAUAGUAAUAGUAAUCAUUUUAAUUGAAUAAAUUAAUUUGAAUUUCCAAUUAUAAAAUAAUAAGCAAUCCAAUCUCAAAUAUGGAAUGAUCAUACCCACAAACAAUAUUCAAGAGUGUCUGCAACCAUAAUGGUUUAUACUCGUCUGCCAUCGCAACCACAUGUUAAAUGGCUCAGCAAGAUCUCGGAUAACAGCUACAAAGCCAAUCUGGAACCACCUCCUCUCCACCUUAACCACCCGUCAAAUCGACUAUGCCUUCUCUACAACUUCUCCUACGGCCAUCACCACAAAGCCUAUACUAUUGGUCUAUGCAGAGGAGACGUUAUGCCCGACUCUUGCACAACCUGCCUCAACAACUCCAUAACCAUGAUCAAAUACGAGGAGAUACUAUUUCUGCAUAAUCAAACACGAGGAGAUACAAAAAAAAAAAAAAAAAUCAGAUUGUAAAAAAGAAUAAUCGAGCUCAAGAACCAAUGAAGAGAUUGUAGUUCUAGAGAUUGUGACUGGACAAAAGAAUAAUCGAGCUCAAGAACCAAUGAAGAGAUUGUAGAAACUCGUGUUAGCUACGUAUGUACAAGUUCAUUUUCAAUUCUAGUAUCAUUAUUAGACUAGAUAAUGAAUACGAUUGCUGGUUAUAACUGUUGUACUUGUAGGUAUAUGGAGAAAUUGGCAAUCAGGAAAUGUACUGGAUGUUAUUGAUUCUUAUUUGAAAAAUGAUUCAAGAAUUGAAAUGGCCAAUGCAUUCAUGUUGGAUUGUUGUGCAUUAAAAAAAUGCACUUGAGAGGCUAAACAAAUACCAUGUACUUCUCAUGUUUAAUAAUAGUUCCAUCACUUUCCCAAGGCCCUUUCAACCAGCAUUUUUCAUCAAUAUUUCUUGCGCUCUCAAAUGUAUAGACAAUUUGAAGACUACAGUUCAACUCAUGUGUUCCAAAUGACUUGUCCAUUACAGAAUUAUCCCUCCUUAGUUUUACUUUAUCCCAAGUAUAUCUUAUAAUUAUGAAAUGAUGUGAAAGCAAGAUAGCAAGAUAUAUAUAUAUAUAUGAUGGAUUUGACCUAUAAGUAAAAUAGUUAUAAUGAGUUUAGCUUGUUUUUAUAUCUUUUCAAUGGAGUUCAAUCAUUGGACCAUGAAUGUUAUACGUUAUCUGAUACCAUUAAGUCACCCAUUGAUGUUAAAAUUUAAAGGAAAUUGCAUUAGAUGACAAAUUAUUUUAGAAAAAAGUUGUUCAUAUACCACAUCUCUUUUAUAUAUUGCAAAUAUGACAAUAAUAAUAAAUAUGGAUAGACAACGUGCUUUUUCAAACAUUUUAAUUUGUUUGGCUAUUUAAAAAAAAAAGUAAAACUUGUUGACUACCAUUAUUGGAUAGUCUACUUUUGAAAAGUGACAGACGACUUCAAAGAAGAAACCACUUCCUAACAAAGCAAUUAUCGUUCUUCAUGGUUUCUGUUUAUUUUCUUUUGGAAAAACCAAUUCAUUCAAUUCAACCAUUAAGCAAAGCAAAGCCAUCUUUCCCCCUUAAUGUCUAAUAUAAUAAUGCUGCAUGCUGCCAUACUUUUUGACUUUCUAACCUUUCUUUUUUUCUACUAAAAAGUUUGAAGGCUUUGAGGUUUUCUCAUGCAUUAUUCAACUUUUUUCUAAUCUAAUUUUUAUGGCUUUAACUGUGUCAAUUAAUAUUAAUUUAAAAGAUAUUCCGAGUAUAUCCAACAUUAAUGAACUUAAAUGAAAUCAGCACCAAACAACAUUGCAAGUUUCACAACCAAGUUUAAAUGAACUUCAUCCUAUCGUGAGCUAGAGAAACUUAGCCACUGAUCAUAAUGUGCUAAGAUGAGUCUCAAUGCUCAAUAAAUCAAAAAUACAAAGCAGUAAAGGUAGGGAAUCAAGAAAUUAAUACAGAGAAAAUCGUUGUGGAGGCGCUCCAAUGGAGGGUUGUCUCAUUUAAAUCGUGUAAAAUUCUAGAACUAGCUUUGAAUUAAACCGAAAAAAGUAGCACAUUUUCAGUACUAACAGUAUUUCAGCUUAGUUAUGUCCACAGCAGAGAGAAAGCAGCUUAUUAUUAGAAAGAAAAUUCAUAGAACUUAAUGGAGGCAUCUCUAAGGUAUGCACUACAGCUUUGAAUUACCUUAAAGUCAAAAUUGCAAAUAACAUGUAAAUUUGGUAUCAAAUACAAAUAAUUUUAGGAGCAUUGCCCUCGAACCCUCAAUAGGGCAUGUCACACCAAUACCCUGAUUCAUUGAUCGAUUAAUAAGACCUUGAAUUUGAUAGUUCGAAACACCAAAUAAAAAGAUUCAAAACAUUUUUAAGAAAAUAAUUCUCAUUAUGUUCAAUUCAAAAAAAAAAAAAUUGUAUGCAUUGUGAAAAUCUAGGGAUAUUGAGUAAUACACCAACUUCUAUUUUAUUUCUUACAUUCAAAUAUAGAAAAGUAGGUCUCUACAUGAAAAAAAAAAAAAAGAAAAAACUUGACAUCGACUUUUUUGCUUUUCUAUUAAAAAGAAAGUUUUUUAAUGGUUAUUUGAUUUGGUGUGAGUUUAAAGUCAAAGAAAACACAGCAAUUGGGAAGGAGGAGUGCUUGUAUGUAUGUAGGAAAGCUGAAAUCAGGGAUGGUUAGGCCUACAUUCAUAUUAUUGAUAGCCAUUCUCAUUAUUUUGCAGCGCAUAGCGAUUGGUGAGCCACAAGAUUUCAUAUUUUAUGAUUGUUCAUAUUAUCAGGGAAAAUACACUACUAACAGUUCCUACAAAGCCAAUUUAAUUAGACCACCUCCUCUCCACCUUCACCAUCCAUCAAAUUGACUAGGGCUUCUACAACUUCUCUUACGGUCAUCACCACAAAGCUUAUGCAAUGGGGCUAUGCAGAGGAGAUUACUCCACGCGCUUGCCAAACCUGCCUCAACAACUCCAUAACCCUUCU
rnacentral:lncRNA from 1 species